rnacentral:rRNA from 1 species
UACAGAGGUCUCAAGCGUUGUUCGGAUUCACUGGGCGUAAAGGGUGCGUAGGCGGGUCUUUAAGUCAGGGGUGAAAUCCUGGAGCUCAACUCCAGAACUGCCUUUGAUACUGAGGAUCUUGAGUUCGGGAGAGGUGAGUGGAACUGCGAGUGUAGAGGUGAAAUUCGUAGAUAUUCGGAAGAACACCAGUGGCGAAGGCGGCUCACUGGACUGGUAUUGACGCUGAGGUGCGAAAGCGUGGGGAGCAAACAGG